GUCGAGCGGAUGAGAGGAGCUUGCUCCUCGAUUUAGCGGCGGACGGGUGAGUAAUGCCUAGGAAUCUGCCCAGUAGUGGGGGACAACGUUUCGAAAGGAACGCUAAUACCGCAUACGUCCUACGGGAGAAAGUGGGGGAUCUUCGGACCUCACGCUAUUGGAUGAGCCUAGGUCGGAUUAGCUAGUUGGUAGGGUAACGGCCUACCAAGGCGACGAUCCGUAACUGGUCUGAGAGGAUGAUCAGUCACACUGGAACUGAGACACGGUCCAGACUCCUACGGGAGGCAGCAGUGGGGAAUAUUGGACAAUGGGCGAAAGCCUGAUCCAGCCAUGCCGCGUGUGUGAAGAAGGCCCUCGGGUCGUAAAGCACUUUAAGUUGGGAGGAAGGGCUUACAGCGAAUACCUGUGAGUUUUGACGUUACCAACAGAAUAAGCACCGGCUAACUUCGUGCCAGCAGCCGCGGUAAUACGAAGGGUGCAAGCGUUAAUCGGAAUUACUGGGCGUAAAGCGCGCGUAGGUGGCUUGAUAAGUUGGAUGUGAAAUCCCCGGGCUCAACCUGGGAACUGCAUCCAAAACUGUCUGGCUAGAGUGCGGUAGAGGGUAGUGGAAUUUCCAGUGUAGCGGUGAAAUGCGUA
rnacentral:rRNA from 1 species